CUUUCAUUCUUUGACAAACGGCAAAGCCCAUGCAGUCAACAAUCGCUAGAUUACUUAAUCACGGUCGUAUAGAUCAGCGAAGGUAUGUGCCCCGGUGCUGCUACUUCUCAGCUCUGUUUUCCGCAACUCUUCGGCACUUGAUCAGGUUUUGGAGGAGACUGUUGAACUUUAUUUAGGUCUAACGAGGAUGCUCGUGAAAUCAACUGUUCAUCAAGAUUUAUGUCAGCUGUUUAGGGUAGAUAGCAUUCGUUUUUGCUCAACCUGGUAAUUCCUAUGGUUUUCUAAACUUUUAUGUUAGUUUUUGUAUGUGUUGGAUAACAUGUUUGUCUGUUUUUUUUUAACCAGGUGUGUUUACGAGGCUUUAAGAGUGCGAAAUCGUGCUGCAAAAAAGCAUGCAUUAGAAAUCCCAUUGAUAUGUGAUCAUCAAAAUAAUCCUAUAAGAAGCUGGGAUUGUGUCAAGGGUGUCCUAAAAAGUGAAGUUCGUCAUCCUCUUUUCUUUGCAAGUUCGCAAAGAAGAACCCUCUGCAGGGUGAUGAGGAGAUAUGGUUUGUUGGGUCUUUUAAGAAGGGGUGGGAAGACUAUUCUUCUUCCUCUACGCAAUGUAAGGUCUCCUAAUUAAGGAUCUCACUCAACGAACAAUCACUAGGUGUGCGGAAUCCACCUAGCAAUCACUAUCGUAGAAUAUUGGAUCAAGAAACAAGAGAAUGAGAAUGAUAUGAGAAUACACAAAGUAUUCUCAGAUAAUGAAGAUGAUGUCACACGCAGCAGCCGCCAAUGCACACACAGUAUAAUGAUUAGGGUUGCUUGAGGCACAAUCUUUCCACAAAAGAAGUCUCUUUGUUUUUCAUUUCACUAAAGAACAUAUAUAUAGGGAGAAGUCCUGACUACAAAAGUCAAGACAUAAAGGGCCCAAAGCCCAAAACAUGAAAACAUAAGUCCUGACCAAAGACUAAAUUCGGACUAGGUUAAACCUAAGUCCCGACUCCUACAAAUAAUACUAAAUUCGGACAUAUACAUAAGUUCUGACCAAACUUUAAUUUCUAUAAAUUACACAAAAGACCCUUAAACUUUGGAGAGCCAAGACUUAUCACACGAAGUGCAUUUACACACAAUAACCAAAAGAACAAGUUAGAAAAGAUAAAAGCGCAACGUUUAUUGGCUAGGGAGGAUGAAGAAAAAAAGGAAACGGGAAAGGGAAAUCAAAGAGGAGGAACAAAGGAUAAAAAAUUUAGAGGUACGGUGAACAGUAUGUUUCCAAAAGACAGACUGUGAAGAAAAACGUACCAGCAAGAGGAAGAAAGCAAAGGUGACUGAUCUGUACAUAAGGGAGUAUAGAGAGAGCUUGGCAGCUGAGGUAUGUUCUACAGCUGUCAAGCUCUCUCUAUAUUUACACUACGAAGCGAAAGAACAGAGAGGGCUAGGGGGCCGAAAAAGGAGGAGAAACUAGUCGAAUAAAAAAAUAAUUUUAGCAUUUUUUAAUAUUUGUCUUAAGUUGCAAUGGCUGCUCAACCCUUCCCCCUUCAAUUAGGCCAUCAUUUUGACCUAAUAAUCUUUUCUAAUGGCGCUUGGAAUGUUAUUCGUAAUCGGAAUCAAUAUACGUCUCAAUACACGGUGAGAGAAGCUGUCGCUGUCAGUUUCAAUCUCACAUUCGAAGAGCUAGCUAAUUUAGCUAGAGAAAAUAGUGUGCACUAUGGUACCGUUACACCGCUUCGAUUGACAUAUCGGCGGCGGGAUGAAGACGGCCACUGGCAACCUAUCACAAUUCGCACAGUAGACCAGUUCAACUACUUCAGAAACAUGGCAAGAACACAACCUGCCAAUAGAAAUAUGAGUCUAUUUGUUGAGGUUGACGUUGCACAUGUGGAGGGUGGAGGUGGAGCAGCGAAGGGUCAAGCAGGCAUGCUAUAGAGAUGUAAUUUUUAGAUCGUCUUUUGUUGUUAGAUGUUGAAACUUGAUGCUAGUUGCUAGUUGUCUAAUUUAGGCUCGCUGUAUUAGUUUAUCAUGCAUGUCAAGAAAUAGUAUGAGUUAAGAUAUAAUGUUUAUAACAAUUACCUUAAGAACCAGGCAACUUUCAAUCCGAAUGACCUGUUUGGCUA